GAAAGCGUGGGUAUCGAACAGGAUUAGAUACCUGGUAGUCCACGCAGUAAACGAUGAAUACUAACUGUUUGCGAUACAAUGUAAGCGGUACAGCGAAAGCGUUAAGUAUUCCGACCUGGGGAGUACGCCGGCAACGGUGAAACUCAAAGGAAUUGACGGGGGCCCGCACAAGCGGAGGAACAUGUGGUUUAAUUCGAUGAUACGCGAGGAACCUUACCCGGGCUCAAACGCAGGGGGAAUGUCGGUGAAAGCCGGCAGCUAGUAAUAGUCACCUGCGAGGUGCUGCAUGGUUGUCGUCAGCUCGUGCCGUGAGGUGUCGGCUUAAGUGCCAUAACGAGCGCAACCCCUAUGGACAGUUACUAACGGGUGAAGCCGAGGACUCUGUCUAGACUGCCGGCGCAAGCCGCGAGGAAGGUGGGGAUGACGUCAAAUCAGCACGGCCCUUACGUCCGGGGCGACACACGUGUUACAAUGGCAGGUACAGAAGGCAGCCAGUCAGCAAUGACGCGCGAAUCCCGAAAACCUGUCUCAGUUCGGAUUGGAGUCUGCAACCCGACUCCAUGAAGCUGGAUUCGCUAGUAAUCGCGCAUCAGCCAUGGCGCGGUGAAUACGUUCCCGGGCCUUGUACACACCGCCCGUCAAGCCAUGGAAGCCGGGAGUACCUGAAGCAUGCAACCGCAAGGAGCGUACGAAGGUAAUACCGGUAACUGGGGCUAAGUCGUAACAAGGUAGCCGUACCGGAAGGUGCGGCUG
rnacentral:rRNA from 1 species